AAUCCCUCCAUUCAGACACAAGCUUUUAUGCUCUCUUCUGGGCAGCCCGUGGCUGGUUGCGGGUUGUAUAACAGUUAAAGAGAGCUACAUACAUAUCUAGGGAGAACAAGUUUGCAUAGCUGUGGCCAACCCCUCUACACCCCUUGCCCAUAACUGCCAGAGCCAACGGAAAGUCUGGUGGAAUUUGGAAACGUCAACAUCCUCCGCCUUGGGUGGUGCAUUAUGCAUUAGCCCCCAAGAGGCUCGUCACUAAUGCAACAACAACUAAAUACUUACAUGCACAUGUACAAAUGGAUGUGUAGAGGAAAAGAGAGUGCGUGUGUACGUUCGUGUGCGCCUGUGGCCUUAUAACUGUUAUAAAAGCCUCCUGACACACACCAACAACCCAUUCACACACGCCUUCCUCUUACCAUGAAGCAACCAUAAAGGAGGGCCUGUCGUCGGCAGCGGUCCUCGGGUAAAUUCCCCCCGAUGUCAGUGCUUGUUUGCUUGUCGAGGAAAGUUGUGCGUGGACAAAUUUGUUUUUCAAGUUUAACCCUAUGUGCGCCAAAAAAUGAAGUGGUGCAGUUUAUGCCGCAAGGUCGACGAUGGUGUGAGAUUGGUUCAUGUACCGAAACGUUUAGAACAAAGAAAAUUGUGGGAGCAAAUUCUGGACUGCAGCCUAACUGUAAACUCGAAAAUUUGCGAUUCACAUUUCCAUGCUUCACAGUGGAUGUCGUUAACUAGGAAAGGGCAGUUAUGUAAAAGAAGGCGACUGAACGAUGAUGCUGUUCCGCAAAAAGAGACAGAGCCUCAACAAGAAAUUGUUAAAUUAGACUUUUCCCACGCGAGUACGCAAACAGAGGACAAAGUGAUAUCAUGCAAUCAUGCACUACGUGUGGAGAACGAGAGCCUGAGGAAACAGAACCGUCAAAUGCAGACGGAAUUGCAUUCGUUACGUCAGCAACUUGAGGACCAUAAGCAAUUGGAAACCAGUCUAAGAGCCAUUUUCACCGAGACUCAAAUAAAGAUUUUAAAGAACAGAGGCAAAAGAGCCGUAUUUAAUGCAA